AAGGAAGCAAGACAAGGAAAAUGAAGUCAACUUGCAAAAAAAUUGGCUUGAAAUAAGGUACAUGUGAUCGAGGUAGUUGUGAGACAGGGUCAGGUCAGUGUAGGUAGAUCCGAUUGGAGCAGGUGGUGGUGCCAUCAGCCGACUCUGUUACACAAGUAGAGUCAAAUAUUGAUGAAAUUAUGAAAUGUCUUGGAGGAGGGAUAAUUGUCUCUAGCCUCCGGAUUUGAUUUUUAUAGCUGAUACUUAUGCAUCAAUGAGGCAAGUUUCAGUUCCAUAAAUACAUGAAUAUGCACUCAAGGAAGAAAUUGCAUUACAAAUAAUUCAAUAAAGUUAAACUCUCCAUUAUUCAUA